rnacentral:lncRNA from 1 species
GUGCUUAAGGCUAAGCCAUUUGCUUAUGCUUCAAAGAAACAUUUUAAAGAAUGUGACAAGCCCAAGCCUUCACCAACUCCAUACUACUACAAAUCACCUCCACCUCCCUCACCUGUUUACAAGUACAACUCUCCACCUCCACCAGUCCAUUAUUAUUCACCACCAUAUUACUACAAAUCACCUCCUCCUCCAGUAAAAUCGCCACCAACACCUUACUACUACAAAUCACCUCCACCUCCCUCACCAGUUUACAAGUACAACUCACCACCUCCACCGGUCCAUUAUUACUCUCCUCCAUAUUCCUAUAAGUCGCCUCCACCUCCCUCACCAGUUUACAAAUACAACUCCCCACCUCCACCAGUCCACCAUUAUGAUCCUCCAUAUUACUACAAGUCACCUCCACCUCCCUCACCAGUUUACAAGUACAACUCCCCACCUCCACCAGUCCAUUAUUAUUCACCUCCAUAUUACUACAAAUCCCCACCUCCUCCUGUGAAAUCCCCACCACCCCCUUACUACUAUAAAUCACCUCCACCUCCCUCACCAGUUUACAAAUACAACUCACCACCUCCACCGGUUUACAAGUACAACUCACCACCUCCACCAGUCCACCAUUAUGAUCCUCCAUAUAACUACAAGUCACCUCCACCUCCUUCACCUGUUUACAAGUACAACUCCCCACCUCCACCAGUCCAUUAUUAUUCACCUCCAUAUUACUACAAAUCACNNN